rnacentral:rRNA from 1 species
UACGAAGGGGGCUAGCGUUGUUCGGAUUUACUGGGCGUAAAGCGCACGUAGGCGGAUCGUUAAGUCGGGGGUGAAAUCCUGGAGCUCAACUCCAGAACUGCCUUCGAUACUGGCGAUCUUGAGUCCGGAAGAGGUGAGUGGAACUCCUAGUGUAGAGGUGGAAUUCGUAGAUAUUGGGAAGAACACCGGUGGCGAAGGCGGCGACCUGGUCCGGAACUGACGCUGAGGAGCGAAAGCGUGGGUAGCAAACAGG